GAUGAAGAACGUAGCGAAAUGCGAUAAGUAAUGUGAAUUGCAGAAUUCAGUGAAUCAUCGAAUCUUUGAACGCACCUUGCGCUCCUUGGUAUUCCGAGGAGCAUGCCUGUUUGAGUGUCAUUAAUAUAUCAACCUUCUCUUUUUUGAGUUGUUUGGAUGUGGGGGUUUGCUGGCCUCUUAAAUGAUUCAGCUCCCCUGAAAUGCAUUAGCAGAACAACCUGUUCAUUAGCGUGAUAAUUAUCUAUGCUAUUGAAUGUGAGGGCAGUUCAGCUUUCUAACCGUCCUUGGACAAUUCAUCAUUAAUGUGACCUCAAAUCAGGUAGGACUACCCGCUGAACUUAAGCAUAUCAAUACGGAGGA
rnacentral:misc_RNA from 1 species